GAUGAACGCUGGCGGCGUGCCUAAUACAUGCAAGUCGAGCGAACGGACGAGAAGCUUGCUUUUCUGAUGUUAGCGGCGGACGGGUGAGUAACACGUGGAUAACCUACCUAUAAGACUGGGAUAACUUCGGGAAACCGGAGCUAAUACCGGAUAAUAUUUUGAACCGCAUGGUUCAAAAGUGAAAGACGGUCUUGCUGUCACUUAUAGAUGGAUCCGCGCUGCAUUGGCUAGUUGGUAAGGUAACGGCUUACCAAGGCAACGAUGCAUAGCCGACCUGAGAGGGUGAUCGGCCACACUGGAACUGAGACACGGUCCAGACUCCUACGGGAGGCAGCAGUAGGGAAUCUUCCGCAAUGGGCGAAAGCCUGACGGAGCAACGCCGCGUGAGUGAUGAAGGUCUUCGGAUCGUAAAACUCUGUUAUUAGGGAAGAACAUAUGUGUAAGUAACUGUGCACAUCCUGACGGUACCUAAUCAGAAAGCCACGGCUAACUACGUG
rnacentral:rRNA from 1 species